GCAUCAUAUGCAUGGAAAACCUUUGCAGGCUCCAUGGGUGUGUCUUUACUUCUCUGCAGUUCCAAUUACCCCAACAUAAGGAGAGACACCCUCGUUAUCAGAUGUGGGAAUUCCCCUCU